rnacentral:sRNA from 1 species
UCAUAGCCCUGAUGAAAGCGGCAUCCUUUGAUUGCCUCCUUUAGGCAAUUAAAGAUACAGCGAACAGCAGGAAAUGGC